rnacentral:piRNA from 1 species
UAUCAAUGUUGAUGACAUCAUUUCU